GUUUGAUCCUGGCUCAGAUUGAACGCUGGCGGCAGGCCUAACACAUGCAAGUCGAGCGGAAACGAGUUAUCUGAACCUUCGGGGAACGAUAACGGCGUCGAGCGGCGGACGGGUGAGUAAUGCCUAGGAAAUUGCCCUGAUGUGGGGGAUAACCAUUGGAAACGAUGGCUAAUACCGCAUGAUGCCUACGGGCCAAAGAGGGGGACCUUCGGGCCUCUCGCGUCAGGAUAUGCCUAGGUGGGAUUAGCUAGUUGAUGAGGUAAGGGCUCACCAAGGCAACGAUCCCUAGCUGGUCUGAGAGGAUGAUCAGCCACACUGGAACUGAGACACGGUCCAGACUCCUAUGGGAGGCAGCAGUGGGGAAUAUUGCACAAUGGGCGCAAGCCUGAUGCAGCCAUGCCGCGUGUGUGAAGAAGGCCUUCGGGUUGUAAAGCACUUUCAGUCGUGAGGAAGGUAGUGUAGUUAAUAGCUGCAUUAUUUGACGUUAGCGACAGAAGAAGCACCGGCUAACUCCAUGCCAGCAGCCGCGGUAAUACGGAGGGUGCGAGCGUUAAUCGGAAUUACUGGGCGUAAAGCGCAUGCAGGUGGUUUGUUAAGUCAGAUGUGAAAGCCCGGGGCUCAACCUCGGAAUUGCAUUUGAAACUGGCAGACUAGAGUACUGUAGAGGGGGGUAGAAUUUCAGGUGUAGCGGUGAAAUGCGUAGAGAUCUGAAGGAAUACCGGUGGCGAAGGCGGCCCCCUGGACAGAUACCGACACUCAGAUGCGAAAGCGUGGGGAGCAAACAGGAUUAGAUACCCUGGUAGUCCACGCCGUAAACGAUGUCUACUUGGAGGUUGUGGCCCUUGAGCCGUGGCUUUCGGAGCUAACGCGUUAAGUAGACCGCCUGGGGAGUACGGUCGCAAGAUUAAAACUCAAAUGAAUUGACGGGGGCCCGCACAAGCGGUGGAGCAUGUGGUUUAAUUCGAUGCAACGCGAAGAACCUUACCUACUCUUGACAUCCAGAGAACUUUCCAGAGGUGGAUUGGUGCCUUCGGGAACUCUGAGACAGGUGCUGCAUGGCUGUCGUCAGCUCGUGUUGUGAAAUGUUGGGUUAAGUCCCGCAACGAGCGCAACCCUUAUCCUUGUUUGCCAGCGAGUAAUGUCGGGAACUCCAGGGAGACUGCCGGUGAUAAACCGGAGGAAGGUGGGGACGACGUCAAGUCAUCACGGCCCUUACGAGUAGGGCUACACACGUGCUACAAUGGCGCAUACAGAGGGCGGCCAACUUGCGAAAGUGAGCGAAUCCCAAAAAGUGCGUCGUAGUCCGGAUUGGAGUCUGCAACUCGACUCCAUGAAGUCGGAAUCGCUAGUAAUCGUGGAUCAGAAUGCCACGGUGAAUACGUUCCCGGGCCUUGUACACACCGCCCGUCACACCAUGGGAGUGGGCUGCAAAAAAAGUAGGUAGUUUAACCUUCGAGGGGACGCUUACCACUUUGUGGUUCAUGACUGGGGUGAAGUCGUAACAAGGUAGCCGU
rnacentral:rRNA from 1 species